UGGGGAAUAUUGCACAAUGGGGGAAACCCUGAUGCAGCGACGCCGCGUGAGCGAAGAAGGUUUUCGAAUCGUAAAGCCCUGUCCUAUGGGAAGAUAAUGACGGUACCAUAGGAGGAAGCCCCGGCUAACUACGUGCCAGCAGCCGCGGUAAUACGUAGGGGGCAAGCGUUGUCCGGAAUCACUGGGCGUAAAGGGUUCGCAGGCGGAAAUGCAAGUCAGUUGUGAAAGGCAGAGGCUCAACCUCUGUAAGCAAUUGAAACUGUAUUUCUUGAGAUGUGGAGAGGCAAGUGGAAUUCCUAGUGUAGCGGUGAAAUGCGUAGAUAUUAGGAGGAAUACCGGUGGCGAAGGCGACUUGCUGGACACAAACUGACGCUGAGGAACGAAAGCGUGGGUAGCAAACAGG
rnacentral:rRNA from 1 species